rnacentral:rRNA from 1 species
AUUGAACGCUGGCGGCAGGCCUAACACAUGCAAGUCGAGCGGAGCGGCGGACGGGUGAGUAAUGCCUAGGAAUCUGACUGGUAGUGGGGGAUAACGUCCGGAAACGGGCGCUAAUACCGCAUACUAUCAGAUGAGCCUAGGUCGGAUUAGCUAGUUGGUGGGGUACAGGCCUACCAAGGCGACGAUCCGUAACUGGUCUGAGAGGAUGAUCAGUAAACCUGGAACGUGGACAAGGUCCAGACGCCUACGUGAGGCAGCAGUGGGUAAUAUUGGACAAUGGGCGAAAGCCUGAGCCAGCCAUGCCGCGUGUGUGAAGAAGGUCUUCGGAUUGUAAAGCACUUUAAGUUGGGAGGCGUUACCAACAGAAUAAGCACCGGCUAACUUCGUGCCAGCAGCCGCGGUAAUAC